AGCCCAAAAACUUUCAGUAAUCCUAUGCAUUCAGAAGCUGCAACUCAGAAAACAAAUCACCAGAUCAUCACUGGUGAAGAUAAGAAAUGGAAGUGUCACCAAUAUUCCCAAGUCCAUAGGGAACUACCGGCUGGACAGUCCCCAUCUGGUAGGUUUCUCAGCAUGCUCAGUAAAUGCAAACACUUUUUGCCUAUGUUUGAGAUAAGUGUGUGACAAAAAGUCCAUCUCUUAAUACAGAUCUCUCGUGUGUAAAAUAUGUGGAUUGGAGUCUUUUCAGGUGAAAGAAGAGCUCCUGAGAGGAGCCAUUGGCAUCUACCUCCCCCUUUGUGGAGGACAGGAAUACUGCAGUCACUGACUCUGCUGCAUAAAGUUUUGAAGAAAUACAAGUUUCUCUUCAGAUAAACCUGCAUUUUUCUAUGCACACCUGGCUUUAAAGGAAUCUACCCCUCUCAAGUGGUUACUUAGCAACUUCUCAAGAACCCAUAUUCAAAAUAGUAUGAAUCCAUUAAACACUUCCUUGUGCUGUUUUGCUGGUGAGAAGGUCUUCAAAGAGGAGGGACUGGACACUGAUAUUUUGAGUUCAGUUCAGUUGGUAGAUAAUUGUUCUAAACAUGUAAACCAACAUAGAAAUAGGAAACUCUAACACAUCACUUUGGCCAGUUAGAAAUUGUAUGGUUUUGUAUGAUUCCCCCUCCCCAAAAAUAUAAGCCUUUUUCUCCCACAGAGAUGAUGGACAACAAUCUGACCCCUCCUGGCAUUUCCUGUUUUCCUUUAGAGAGGUUUUGAAGGCUGGAGCCUGAUCCAUUCACCAUCAGAUGCUGGAUUUUACACUGGAUUAAAUGUUUUCUUUUGCAGCGAUAUUAUGCAAGCUUCACUGGCACGGGGAAACUGUUGCCAUACAUCUCAAACUAAGAACAGUUUCCAGGAAUCAUCCCUUCAGGUAUUUUCCACUCCAUUGAAUGACCAGGCUACUUCAUGCAGAUCUAAGCAGAAUGUGGGGGGGAUUUUGUCUGGCUGUGACAAUUUCAGGUACGUGAGGAAGGUAUCACUGCUGGUAUAAUUGUUCUGUAAU
rnacentral:lncRNA from 1 species